rnacentral:rRNA from 1 species
ACGGGAGGCAGCAGUGGGGAAUAUUGCACAAUGGGGGAAACCCUGAUGCAGCGACGCCGCGUGAGUGAAGAAGUAUUUCGGUAUGUAAAGCUCUAUCAGCAGGGAAGAUAAUGACGGUACCUGACUAAGAAGCCCCGGCUAACUACGUGCCAGCAGCCGCGGUAAUACGUAGGGGGCAAGCGUUAUCCGGAUUUACUGGGUGUAAAGGGAGCGUAGACGGUUUGGCAAGUCUGAAGUGAAAGCCCGGGGCUCAACCCCGGUAUUGCUUUGGAAACUGUUGAACUAGAGUGCCGGAGGGGUAAGCGGAAUUCCUAGUGUAGCGGUGAAAUGCGUAGAUAUUAGGAGGAACACCAGUGGCGAAGGCGGCUUGCUGGACGACAACUGACGCUGAGGCGCGAAAGCGUGGGGAGCAAACAGGAUUAGAUACCCUGGUA